GUGAGGAAUAUUGGUCAAUGGACGGAAGUCUGAACCAGCCAUGCCGCGUGCAGGAAUAAGGUCCUAUGGAUUGUAAACUGCUUUUAUUCGGGAAUAAACCUCUUUACGUGUAGGGAGCUGAAGGUACCGAAGGAAUAAGCACCGGCUAACUCCGUGCCAGCAGCCGCGGUAAUACGGAGGGUGCAAGCGUUAUCCGGAAUCAUUGGGUUUAAAGGGUCCGCAGGCGGGCUAUCAAGUCAGGGGUGAAAUCCCACAGCUUAACUGUGGAACUGCCUUUGAAACUGAUGGUCUUGAAUUAAGUGGGCGUUGGCGGAAUAUGACAUGUAGCGGUGAAAUGCAUAGAUAUGUCAUGGAACACCGAAAGCGAAGGCAGCUAACGAUACUUAUAUUGACGCUCAUGGACGAAAGCGUGGGUAGCGAACAGGAUUAGAAACCCGAGUAGUCC
rnacentral:rRNA from 1 species